GAUGAACGCUGGCGGCGUGCCUAAUACAUGCAAGUCGAGCGAACGGACGAGGAGCUUGCUCCUUUGACGUUAGCGGCGGACGGGUGAGUAACACGUGGAUAUCCUACCUAUAAGACUGGGAUAACUUCGGGAAACCGGAGCUAAUACCGGAUAAUAUAUUGAACCGCAUGGUUCAAUAGUGAAAGACGGUUUUGCUGUCACUUAUAGAUGGAUCCGCGCCGCAUUAGCUAGUUGGUAAGGUAACGGCUUACCAAGGCAACGAUGCGUAGCCGACCUGAGAGGGUGAUCGGCCACACUGGAACUGAGACACGGUCCAGACUCCUACGGGAGGCAGCAGUAGGGAAUCUUCCGCAAUGGGCGAAAGCCUGACGGAGCAACGCCGCGUGAGUGAUGAAGGUCUUCGGAUCGUAAAACUCUGUUAUUAGGGAAGAACAAAUGUGUAAGUAACUAUGCACGUCUUGACGGUACCUAAUCAGAAAGCCACGGCUAACUACGUG
rnacentral:rRNA from 1 species